rnacentral:lncRNA from 1 species
CAAAAGUCAAGUCUGUUGGUCAUAAACUGCACUUCCGUUCUAUUAAGUGCAGAUUGCAGAGAAAUAUCUGAAAAAGGGAUACGUUUGGGUCAACCUGCUGAAGAAUAAAAUUGGAUUUGAUGAAGCUUAUCUGUAAAGAGAGCCAUACCUGGAUGUUUGAGAAGGUCAGUGCUAUUAGUAUUGCCCUUUUGACUUUUGAGUUGUAUACGGAUAUUCCCUUAAGCGCUUGUCAUUGGUACUACCGAAGGACAAAGUUCCCUGUGAAUGUUCGAAUUAAAAGUUCUGAUGAGUGAGGAUGAUUGUCGACAAGGUAAUCUGUUAUUGCCUUGCUUUUGUUGAUUCUGGACAGGCAAACCAUGGUUAGAUUAUCUUGAUCAUCUUUAUUGCUUUACAUUCUGGGAAAGAUUAUGCAUAUGCAUAUAUAUGCUCCAUCUUGUUCUCUUAAGUGCUGCAAGUCUAUGGUGCCUCAUCUUUGUAGUCUUUUGCCAUGCUCGAGUGUGCACGGGGAUUUUGGGAUGGGAAAAGGAUGGUCCAGAAAAUGUUGUUCCCAUUAAUGCUUUUCUUUCAAAUGUUACGUACAUUUGUGACCGUGGAAAUCUGUGAGUUGCAUGGACAAAUUUGCGAGUCAUCUUUUCUGAUAUGCCGUUUGGGAGAAGAUUGUACAUAUAGAUAUCACUUCGUCCACAUGUUGAACCGUACUUGAAGUUGUGCACCGGGGCUUGGGGAUGAGUAGAAAAUUCAAAUUCUUGGAAUUAGACGUUUGCGAUUGCCUAGACAUGAAUCAAGAUAAAUCAAAGUAAAGGGGGGUAAGGACUCAAAGGGGCUGGUUGGGAUUGUCGCCGUCAGCCUAAUUACUUGCUUGAUUAACUUUUCAUCGAACUUGUACUAACAUUCUUUUGAAAUUGAGUGUACAAUCACCCCCGUUAAGAAUUUCAAAGAGACCAAAUUAUUGUCCUCAUCCUCUCCAUUACCUAGUUGGACAUAAACUUCACCAAUAUUGGAGGGGUCUGAGAUUCAGAAGAAAGCAUAAAUGCAACAAAGUAAAUGCUCACCACCUCAAAAUUUUUCCUCGGGGCACAGGGCAAAUUUGAGCUUUCCAACCAUAUAUAUUCAUGAUACUAGAUUGGAGCAUGAAAUCAUCCUCAAAAUCUAGAAAGUAAAAAAAAAAAAAGUGAGGCUUAAAAUUCUGCAAGCAUGGUUUGCAGUUAAUCUUCAAGCAAUUUGCAUUACUUGUUGGAUGAGGCUCUAUUUUCUUGGGAUGAUCCCUUCAUCCCUACCAAUUUGCGUGGUAUACCGACCAUUGUGCCUAGGCCAUCUAGGCUGUUAAUCAUGCAGUUUCCCAUGUCGGCUCCAUACGAUCGACUGUCCAGAUGGGCUAUCUAUGAUGAUCUAAAAAUAAAUCUUUUCAACAUUUUACCACCUAUGGAAGUAAGUCUCGCAAGAAUCGGUCGUUAUAUAACAUGUUCUAGUAGCUUUUAGGGUAUCAAUUCGCUUCCAAAGGGUCCGACCACCUAUAGGCUAUCAUGCUCUAUUUUCUUGGGAUGAUCCCUUCAUCCCUACCAAUUUGCGUGGUAUACCGACCAUUGUGCCUAGGCCAUCUAGGCUAUUAAUCAUGCAGUUUCCCAUGUCGGCUCCAUACGAUCGACUGUCCAGAUGGGCUAUCUAUGAUGAUCUAAGAAUAAAUCUUUUCAACAUUUUACCACCUAUGGAAGUAAGUCUCGCAAGAAUCGGUCGGUAUAUAACAUGUUCUAGUAGCUUUUAGGGUAUCAAUUCGCUCCAAAGGGUCCGACCACCGUGGAAUUAUCGCAAGCGUAGGCGCAUAGUCUAAGGCCAACUUUGUCGGUGGUAUCACUUUAUAAGAAUCUUAUCACAACUGAAGCUCGAUCCACACUAGUUCACUCGUCUUAAGUAAAGCUAGCAAAACGGGUCAUAAACCCAUAUUAUGACCCAUAUUUAGUUAAAUGGGUCAUAUAUGGACCAAGUGAAAGUAAAGCACCAAAAAAAAAAAAAAGGGUUUGAAUGAGUUAUUAUGAAAUCCACUUUGAACCCGUGGCCUUCCCUCUUUAACUUUAUAAAAAAAAAAAUUAAUUGAAAUUAUAAUUAUUUUUCAUAUUUUAAUUUGCUUUUCUUUUUUCUUUCUUUUUCUUCCUUCCUUAGCCAACGGCCAGCAAGGCGACGACCAACCGCCGAUCAGCAACAGGCCAAGCGAGGCUCAAGCCUCACCAGAUCUAACGAGACUCGAGCUCGCAGACAUCAAGCGAGGCCUCGGCCUCGCCAACGACUAGCGAGGCUCGAGCCUCACCAACGACUGGCGAGGCUCGAGCCUCACCAACGACUGGCAAGGCUCAAGCCUCACCGGAUCUGGCGAGACUUGAGCUCCCCGACGUCGGGCGAGGCCUCGGCCUCGCCAAAUCGGCGAGAUCGAGCCUCGCCCAACGCCAACAAAGCCUCGGCCUCGUUGGAUCUGGUGAGACUCAAGCUCGCUGGCGUCAGGCGAGACCUCAGCCUCACCAAAUCAGCAAGAUCGAGCCUCGCCCGAUGCUGGCGGAGCCUCAGCCUUGCCAGAUCUGGCGAGGCUCAAGCCUCGCCAACGACUGGCAAGACUCGAGCUCGCAAGUGUUGGGUGGGGCCUUGGCCUCGCUAGAUCGAGUAGAUCGAGCCCCACCCAACACUAGCGAGCUCGAUCUCACCUGUGGCCGGUUGCUGGUUGUUGUUGUGGUUGGCAACCGACAAAGAAGAAGAAGAAGAAGAAGAAGAAGAAGAAGAAGAAGAAAGAAAAUAAAUACUAAAAAUUAAAAAUUAUAUUCUAAAAUAAAAAUUAUAAAAAAUUAUAUAUUUUUUAAAAAUAAAAAUAAUUUAAAAUUAAAUUUAAAAAAACAAAAAUUCGAUUUUUUAAAAAUAUUUUAGAAUAAAAAUUUUCCAUUAAAUUUGUAUUGCAUGAAAAUUGUUAAAAAAUAUUGUAUUGCAUAAAAAUGUUUUAACAAUACUUUUUUUUAUUAAAAAAAUCAUAAGAAUAAGCUUUUUUAGGUUUAGUUAAAAAAAUUUCAUGUUACAAUUUUUAGUUAUUUAAUGGUGUGUUCACUUCAAAUAAGAGAAGCGUGUGCAUGGUCUAAUUCUUUAUAAAUAUUUCAAUUUAUAGGGUUUUUUUAACUUUGUUUUAUUUUAUUUACUAUUUUUAAUUUAAUUUGAAGUUUUAAUCCAAUUAGAAUAUAGGAGAGGUGGGUUUUCCUAGAAUAUUAAUAGGUUUUAGCGAUACGGAUCGAGUAUGGUAUAAAUUAGGUAUGGGUCAAGUCGAGUAUAAGUUAUUUGAUUUACACUACAUGAAUAUUGGUCAAAACGGAUUAAAUAGGUCAAAGAUGGGUCGACCCAUUUUCGACUCGACUCAAACCUGACCGGACCCAUCCAUUUGACUGGUCUAGUCUUAAGCAGUCCAACUGAGACUGUGCAAACGAAGCAUUAUCAGAAUCUACAUGCCGAAACCCAACAUACCGCAAGAGCAUGUAGUUAGAUAUAGUGAUUAGGAAAGCUAUGACUAUAGUUUCUCUUUGGUAACCCAGACACACAAGCACGGAGAACUGGCUAACUAAAGGUUUAUGGAACACCCUGCAGGUCUCAUGAAUCAAUUAAGUUUAGAUAUUUUGUAUGUGCAUGUAGAUCAAUUUAUACAGAUCCCUAGUUCUUGAGUCAAAAAUUUCCCGACACUCCAACCAAUUACGUUAACCUUGAAGGGUUUAUGACUAAGGUUUUUACUCAACCUUUGUAUGCUUAACUACUAUAAAACAUGGGAGGACAUUAAUAAUUUUGUAUUUCAUAUGAUUAAUUCAUAGCAUGGUAAAAACUAAGUGGUACAAAACUCAUAUGCUUCGUAUCUAAUGACAAAAGGAUCAAUAAAUUAUACAUAUUGGGGAGAAAGGGGUAAUAAUUCAUCAAGAACUAACUCAAUCCAGAUAAUAAUUCAUUAAGAACUAACUCAAUCCAGAUCAAUAUCUUCCCAAUAUUGAACCGAUUGAAAUCAACUUUACUCCAACAACAACCAAAAAUAAAUUUCAGUAAUACAACCCCACAAUACAUAAAUAUAAUGACAAAAUUAUAAGAAGACAAAGGCAACAAUACCAAGAUUUUACGUGAGAAAAUUUGUUAGAAUAUACCUCGAGUUUGAGCCUAAUGCAAAAGUCUUAAAAUUCCGAAUUGAAUUUUUUGCGGACAUCCCAAAUUGAGCAAGGAAGAUCAGAGAGUAAGCCCCUCAAAAGUCCGAAUUCACGUUGGAGAGUUUGGCCACUGAAAUAGAAAAGUCCAACAUUUACUUGACUUGGAUUUUGUUUUAAAUAUACGGAGAUUUUAUCUAUUUGUAACCAAUUAAAUAUUCUGGUAAGAUUUGCAUGUAAUUCCGUUGUGAAAGUGAGAGAUUAAUUCACGAGAAAUUUUGAGGCUAAACACUACAUGUGUUAUCAGGUAUAAUUAGAGCUUAGAAAAUACUGUGAGUAUUUGAAUGACUAGAGUAUGUAAUUUCCGUUAUAUUGCUUGAUUUAUAACAAAUCCGUCGCUUCUUUUCCCGUGGACGUAGUUCUUUAUGACCAAAUCACGUAAAUUCAAUAUCCAAUUUAUUUUAUUAUUCUGUCUAUUUUAUUGUUUGGUUGCUCACUUUUCACAACAAAACCCAACUAAGGAAAAAAUCAUGACCACCUACAAACUUUCACUAAUCACCAAAAACAAUAAAAUACACAAAGAAUUUCUCUCUAACGGCUCAACUUUAAUAAUUCAACACUAUUUCAUUACCACGAAGGUAGAUAAACACAAAUGGAACAAGAAAACCCUAAUCGCGAUUUAAUUCAGUGAAAGCUCUUAAUGAACAAAGUCGAUCAACUUGUAGCCUUUAGUCUCACAAAAAAACGUAUUAAAAUUUGAGCCAAUAUCAUCAACGUUUGGCCUCCGAAUCAAGACUGCAGAGCCACGCCUCUUUUUUUCCUCCUUAGCUCUCUAAGUACACGUUCUCUCUCCCCUCUUGCUCUCCACCAACCACGCAUGAAGCAACCCCACUUUUCUUGUUUUUUGCUUUUAAGCCUCACCUAGGAUGUGCGGCUAUGACUCUACCGUCUCUCUCACGGGGCAAAUCAGCUUUGAAUUUCCAAGAAACAAAGAUCAUUUUGUAUUCCAUCUAUGCUUGGAUACUUAUAUAUACACAAUCAAACAAUUACUUCAUCAAUCUCUUUCGCCCCUUGCUAGAAUAUUUAAACAUGACAGUCCUUGCAAUUCUUUUGGGCUUGAGCCUAGGAUAUUUGGUGCCACACCAAGUUGAUGCUCAGACGCAGACCGAUCCCACAGAAGGGUUCAAAUCGCUUCCGCUGACUCAAUCCAACUUCGCCGUGCAAAGGCCGUACGACGUGCCGGUAGAUCAGAGAUACAGCUUCAAAGAUGGAGUUCACAAGCUGUGGGUGUUCGACACCGACAAGCCUCACUCCACCACAAGCCAAACCAAGCCACGCACCGAAAUCCGUAUAAGGGUAAGCUACCUUCGUGACUAGUCUUAGCUCAACAGUGUUUCGUCCUGAGAUUUGGGACCCCGGAGCCGGACCGGGGAUGUGAUAAACAGAAAGAAAUCCUACACAGAAGUAUUAGAAAUCGGUACUCCGGUGAUAAUUGUGCUUUUAUAUAUGCUUCUCGAUUCAUGAUCGCUCUGGUAAGUGCUCGACAACAAUUUCUAACUCUGUUUAAUCGUGUUUAGAUAAGUACAUCGUCAUUCUUUCCAAUCAAAUGAUGUGCUAGGUAAUUACACUCGUGGAAAGAUACUGCUCACGAAAUACGAGUGGUCUUGGGCAAGUGAGGAUCAUGAUCCUCGUCGAAAGCUCCUCAGAUUGGACUUACCUUAGUAUUCCGUGAUCUAAUUUUGAAUACUCUUUCACCAACCACUGCAUGCUGACGAAAUAAAGACACCGAACAGGGAUAUGACUAUUCCUCCGGAGUGUGGCAAUUCGAAGGGCAAGGAUACGUGCCAGGCGGAACAUCGGGUGUCUCCGUUAUGCAAGUUUUUGGGGCCGUCACUCACGCCACGACCUUCAUGCUCCGCGUCUACAAUGGCACAUUGUAUUACUACAAUAGCCAAGUGUUGGUCGAGAAUGUCUACGACAAAUGGUUCAAGCUCAACGUGAUACACGACGCCGAUGCCGACAAUGUGAAGAUCUACAUCGAUGAUCAACUUAGGUUUUCAGCUCCAGGCCGUGGUAGUGGGGUUUCGCACUACUUUAAGUUUGGGGUUUAUACUCAAGAUGAUUCCUCUCACCGCAUGGAGUCACGGUGGAAGGAUGUUAAGGUUCUCAAGAAAAACUAAUUGAAACGAUGGCUUCGUGUAGCAAGUUUCGCUUGCUUGCUCUGUAAUGGCUCCUCGUAUCGCCUAUACAAAACCAAGAAUAAAUCCAGUGGCUCAUUUAACUUAGUACGACCACAUAACUCUUUCUUCUUUCUCAUAUUCUCAUGGAUUCGGAGGCAGCGCCACGCCUGACAUCCUACCGUAUAGCCACCACACAUCGCUGCAUAUAAACUUGUAGAGUAUGAGAACAAACAAGAACAAAUUAACAAUCGAUCAAUAUGAAGAGAAAGUGAAUCGAGAAGAGAUUGUUAAGCUGUUGUUGAUCACGAAUAAACAGCGUAUGCCAGUCGUGCAAAGAACAAGAAAAUUCAUAAGAUCAAGGAUGGUUUAGAUGGAGAUUUUGUGCUUUGACAACACCAGAGAAUUUCGAACGUGCAGACGUACGACCUACGAGCAAACAGAGUAUCGCACGGCCUCAUUGGGCUUUGGUGUUAACAAGAGAGGUGUCCAGCUAAAUCGUAUCCGACGUAGACGACUAGUAGACAAACAGAAGUGCACAAGCAAUCUAGUGGCCAAACAAUUUUGAUGAUUAUGACGAGAGUUCCAAUUUUUGUUAGACCAAAUCUAACCACGCUUAAAAACCUAGAGAGGUUAUGCUGCUGCCGAAUUGCAUGUACUUGUGGGAUCUUUCGACAGGAAUUUCGGACAGAAUGGAUUUUCUUGGCCGAUGAAAAGCUCGGUUAAUGCAAAACAUAACCACGAUACCUGUCAAGGUCAAAAUCAAUGGAGAACCUCUAAAAUACUUCCCACCAGCAGACCGACUAAGGUAAGGUGGUCCUCUUUCUCCCGGUCAAUCAAUUUUGGUGGUGUAUAUACUCUCUACCGAUACCUGAGGUUGUAAAUGGUCACAUCAAGUGCAUUAAUCUAGCAGCUAUUUCAAAAUUGUUACCAACAUUCAACAUUUCCCCAAAAAAUUUUGAAGACUGAAAGUCCCUAGAUGACAAUGCUGAAUCAGGCGCCAUAUAUCUUCUUCAAUGGCAAAAUGGAGCUCUGGUCCUCUUCGAAAAGCAGGUAUAAGAGACUGAUGCUGAUGGAUUUGACUCACUAAUUAACACGCACCACGUGUCAUUAUACACGAUAGAUAUGCGUUUAUACUGAACGCGUGUUACACGGAAAUCUCAAGUCGUCGAUUCCCAGCGUACGACCUCCCGUCAAGACCUCCACUAUCCAGAAGCUCAACGACUUAGACCUGGAAACGCGGUUUUGACCAAGUGUUAAAGAUCAUAUUGUCAUUUGUCAUGACAUGCGUCUGCUCAUCAUUUCAUUUUGCCUUCUGUCGAUAUCAAAUCACCACUUGUCGACCAAGACCGGAUAGCAUGGAUCACUUCCUUCUAUAAAGACUCAGCAAUUCAGGAAGUGUCUUACCCCAAUAUUUCCACCCUCUAAUACAUAUAUACUUUCCUCAAUUGCUUAGUCUUUCCACACUCUAAUGCAUAUACUUUCCACGCUCUAAUCUUUAAAGACUCAGCAAUUCAGGAAGUGCCUAAUACAUAUACUUUCCACACCAACACAUACGCUGCAUGGACCUACACCAAUGUUCAAGAUGGACCUACACCAACGAAUACGAUAUCUUUCCAAAUUUGAUCAUGUAAGUUUUUCAGUCAUAAAUAAUUUUUUCAGUCAUAAAUAAUUCUGUCGGCAUGAAUAUUACCUGAAAUGUAAACACUUCUUCCAUAUAUCAAAAUCAAUAUAAAUUAUAGAUAGUUUUGUCAAUUUCGAAAUAUAUUAUGAGGUUUUCUCAACAGUAUUGCUGCACCACCAUCAUUGCUCAAAACCCACCAUCGUCGAUCCAUUGCUGCUCAUCCCCAAACAAUACUAUGGGUGAGCCUACCAUCCAAGUAUAAGAUUGCAUUUGAUUUAGCUAAUGGGAUUAGCGCGGUAUGUGAUUGGUCAGACGUCUACCAAUCUAACAUAGACUUCCUCGUCUUUAAAAACAGGCCCAGAAAAGGAAAAAACAACAAACAAAAGUGAUAGUACCUCUAAUUAUUGAAAUGACAUUGCUAAUAUAACUGUACGGUUAUUUUAAUUUAAUAACGGUGCAAGGGCAGCCACACAUUUCAGUUUAGAUGGAAAGGAUAACCGGCAUUUCACCGAAAAUUUAUAGUCUGCAACAAUGGUAGAUUGUGAACCAUCAUUUCUUUCUUCUUCUUUUUUUUUUUCGUAUGCACAAAAACAAAAGUUUUUUCAUUUGCACAUUAAAUUCAAAUUAAUAUUUCUUUCUAAAAAGAAAUGUACCAAUAUCUAUUAAUUUUCUCGAACAAAAAUAAAAAUUAUCUAACUUAGAAUUAGUUGUAGUCUGUCGACACCCUGUCUUCUUCAAGAGUAUCUACGAUGAAUGGUUCGAGCUCAAUGCCAUACACGACGUCGACGCCUCCAAUGUGAACAUCUACUAACGUUGGAAGGAUGUUAAGGUUCUCAAGAGAAAAUGUAAUUGGAAAUGAUGGUUUCGUAUGGAAAGCUUCAAGUGAUUGCUUUGUGACAACGAUUUCGUGCCUUCUACAUUGAACGCGAUGUUGUCGUUGAUCACGUGAGAAACGAAUUAUCCCAUCGGGUAAGCAUGGAUUUAAAAUAGAUGGACGGAGAUUUCAUGAUUUGACAUCACCAAAGUUUGUCGCCAUGCGGAAGUAUGACCUAUGAGCAAACAAAAAAUGAUAUGGCCUUAUUCUUGCCUUGGUGUCAUAUAGGAGACAUCCUAUUAAAUUAUAUCCAACAAAGACGAAUAUAGACAAUCAAAAGUGCGAAAGGAAUUUAGCAUGGUGGCUUGAUAAUUGUGAUGAUCAUCACGAGAGGAGCCAAAACUGGCCCAGCCAUACUAAAUGGGGCCAAAUCUAGGCGUUCUCGACAACGUCAGAACUAGCUCUAUCAAGGGUGGCAGCGACAACAAAUUUGGCCCGGUUGAGUUUGAAAGAAUGAUAAAUCAAGUUUGCAAGACUAAUAUCUAUCUUCGCAAUUUCCAUAAUAAAGUCAUAUUACUGUAUUCUAAUGAAAUUUUUAAAAAGUAAAAAAUCAAGUACUUAAUUUUAAUGGAAAAUUACCAAAAAAAAUUAAAUUUAUUGCACUUGUCAACCCUUUCAAUUUGACUAAUUUAGUUAUAAAAUUUUUGAUAAUUUUCCAAUUUAAACCUAAACAUUUUAAUGAUUUACUAAUUUAAUCCUAUAUAUUUUGAGCAUUUGCCAAUUUAGCAUUUUCAACCAAUUUUAUCCAAAAAUCACUUAGAUAGCAGUAUAGUCAGCGCUAACCAUCCUACAUGACAUGGCUAACACUAACAUGAACAAUUUUUGCAAUUUUUAAUUUUUUUUGUAAAUUUUCAUCUUUUAAUAAUAAUAAUAAUAAUAAUAAUAAUAAUAAUAAUAAUAAUAAUAAUAAUAAUAAUAAUAUGUCACGUAGGAGAGAGAAAUUAAUUUAAAAGUACCACACUAAUAUUUUUGGUUAACCAAAUUGACAAUAUUGGCAGAUUAACUCGAUUACACCAACUUAACAAAAUCUAAAACUUAAUUACAUUUUCGCAACAAAUUUUAGAACUUCUAAUAUAUUUAUGCAUAAAAAAUUAAAAAUUACAAAAAUUAUCUACAUUAGUGCCGGUUAUAUCAUGUAGAAUGGUCAAUACUGACUAGACCGUUACGUCAAUAAUUUUCAAUCAAAAUUAGCCAAAUGGACUAAAUUAUCAAAUUGUUAAAAAGUUCAUGACCAAAUUCACUAAUUUAUGGUUGACACAAGUCUAAUAGAUUUAGGAUUUUUUUUGUAAUUUUCUUUAAAUUUAAUUAUAUAUUAUGAUAAUAAAAUAUUGAAAGAUAUAUUAUAGUUAAAACAUAUCGAAUAGGUUGGCCAAAAAAGCAUGUUUAAUUGGGUAGUAGAAAACGUUAUAGAUAGAAUAGACAAGCUUAUAAUUAUCAUUCACAAUUUUAUAUAUGUGUAAAUAUAUACCUAGAGAGAGUACCAGAAAAAAUUCUUACUUUGGUGUCAAAAAAAAAAAAAAACAAAGAGGUCAGUGACUAUUUGUUUCUCAGAUAAUUAGAAUUUUUAAAAGGAUUACAAUAACGAAUGCUUCUAGACAACUUAUUAAGAAACUAAUUAAUGACACCAUUUCAAUUUUUAUGCAUUGAUUAUUUUCAUAUUACGCACAAUCAAUAUCUUGAAAAUGGAAGAGAGAGUACCAAAAAAAUUCUUACUUUGGUGUAAAAAAAAGGGCAGUGACUAUUUUUUCUCAAAUAGUUAAAAUUUUUAAAAGGAUUACAAUAACAAAUGCUUCUAGACAAAUUAUUAAGAAACUUAUUAAUGACCCCAUUUCAAUUUUUAUGCAUUGAUGUACACAAAGUCCAGAGGUAAAAAAGCUUGUGGACUGGAGCCCGGCUUUGGAGAGUUUAUGUUCUUGUAGAUACUGUUACUGAACAAAGCACUCUUAUUCUUCUAUUUCAAAUUGUCUGAGCAGCCAAAUGCAUGCUAUGCAUUUUGUAUGCCAUUUGUUACUUAUUGAAAUUGAAUUGCAUGGCUGUUGGAAGUACUGGCUCAAGCCAAAAGUCAAGUGUGUUGGUCAUGAACUGCACUUCCGUUCUAUUUAGUGCAGAUUGCAGAGAAAUAUCUGAAAAAGGGAAACGUUUGGGUCAACCUGCUGAAGAUGCUCCGAAAGUUCAAUUCGUGGGUUGCAAAGAGAGCCAGACCUGGAUGUUUGAGAAGGUCAGUGCUAUUAGUAUGGCCCUUUUGACUUUUGAGUUGUAUACGGAUAUUCCCUUAAGCGCUUGUCAUUGGUACUACCGAAGGACAAAGUUCCCCGUGAAUGUUCGAAUUAAAAGUUCUGAUGAGUGAGGAUGAUUGUCGAUAAGGUAAUCUGUUAUUGCCUUGCUUUUGUUGAUUCUGGACACGCAAACCAUGGUUAGAUUAUCUUGAUCAUCUUUAUUGGUUUACGUUCUGG